AUUGAACGCUGGCGGAAUGCUUUACACAUGCAAGUCGAACGGCAACACGGGGGCAACCCUGGUGGCGAGUGGCGAACGGGUGAGUAAUACAUCGGAACGUGCCCAGUCGUGGGGGAUAACGUAGCGAAAGUUACGCUAAUACCGCAUACGAUCUACGGAUGAAAGCGGGGGACCGUAAGGCCUCGCGCGAUUGGAGCGGCCGAUGUCAGAUUAGGUAGUUGGUGAGGGAAAGGCUCACCAAGCCGACGAGCUGUAGCUGGACUGAGAGGACGACCAGCCACACUGGGACUGAGACACGGCCCAGACUCCUACGGGAGGCAGCAGUGGGGAAUUUUGGACAAUGGGCGCAAGCCUGAUCCAGCCAUUCCGCGUGCAGGACGAAGGCCUUCGGGUUGUAAACUGCUUUUGUACGGAACGAAAAGGCUCUGGUUAAUACCUGGGGCUCAUGACGGUACCGUAAGAAUAAGCACCGGCUAACUACGUGCCAGCCGCCGCAGUAA
rnacentral:rRNA from 1 species